GGGCCCGUAGCUCAGUCAGGACAGAGCACCGGACUUUUAAUCCGGUGGUCGCGGGUUCAAUUCCCGUCGGGCCCG
rnacentral:tRNA from 1 species